AGCAGUCGCCGCGGGAAUACGUAGGUGGCAAGCGUUGUCCGGAAUUAUUGGGCGUAAAGGGCUCGCAGGCGGUUUCUUAAGUCUGAUGUGAAAGCCCCCGGCUCAACCGGGGAGGGUCAUUGGAAACUGGGAAACUUGAGUGCAGAAGAGGAGAGUGGAAUUCCACGUGUAGCGGUGAAAUGCGUAGAGAUGUGGAGGAACACCAGUGGCGAAGGCGACUCUCUGGUCUGUAACUGACGCUGAGGAGCGAAAGCGUGGGGAGCGAACAGGAUUAGAUACCCCCGUAGUCCCUGUCUCUUAUAC
rnacentral:rRNA from 1 species